rnacentral:misc_RNA from 1 species
CAAGUAGAGGUUCAGGCUUUUGAAGAGAUAAUGCCUGCAGCAUCCUUGACAGAUGAUGAAACUAUCACUGCAGCUAAUGCUAAUGAGAAUCUGUCAGGUCGCAAAACAUCACUUUCUGUCAAUUCGCUAGACAUUCUAAGUGUCAAUGAACUUUUGGAAUCAGUCUUGGAAACUGCACAUCAAGUUGCAAGCUCCCAGAUUUCCUCCACGCCUAUACCUUAUGACCAAAUGAAAAGUCAGUGUGAAGCUCUUGUGACAGGUAAACAACAGAAGAUGUCAAUGCUUCAGAGUCUUAAGCAUCAACACGAUGCCAAGGUUUUCCCCACUAGAGAUGAAAAGAAAGGCACUUCAUCAUUUAAUCAGAAAGUGGAGUUACUACAAAGUGAUUCGAAGUUGGUCAGGUACUCCAUUUUGAUCGUUACUGUUGCCCUAUGUUCAGUUGAGUAUGGACAUACUGCUUUUAGAUUACCACCUUCAAGCCCCUACGACAAAUUCAUGAAAGCGGCUGGAUGCUAAAACCAAUGUUUUACACACA